AAUGGAACUAUUCCUCUUUAGA
rnacentral:tRNA from 1 species